CGUUUGGGGUUUUUUUUAUCUGCUGUGCUAUGUGAAAAGAAAGAGUUACGUUCAUUAUUGCAUCAGCCAGUCACUGUGGAGCAGCACGAGGACGGGGCUUGCCUGCUGCUGCCUGGAUGCUUGACCACAGGCUGUCGCCCGCACGCCCGCCACGGCAGCAUCACACCGGCUGGUCUGGGCCUGUCUUUUUACCAGGCAACCUUGCUACCUGGGUACAGCCCCUCACUCUGGCAGAAGCUACAACCCGAGGAACCGGAGGCCUCGCUCUCUACCCCCUGUCUAGAGGGGCGGCCGGUCUGGGGAGCGCUGCGGAUCUCAGGAACGGUCGCGGGGCAACGCAGGGGCGCGAGGCGAACAGGCCUCGUCGGGGCGCCCCCCCCCCCCGAGGGGGGGCCACAGCCCCGCCUGGAAAGCAGAAAAGGCGGGGCCGACCCGGGCACGGGGACUGACAGCGCCUCGCCCAAUCCGCGCUCGUGCAGGCUCCGCUCCCCGCGAACGAGCAGAGGAGGUGGGUCCUGCCCCGUUGUCACUUCACGUCCAAUCCGCGGCGAGCUGUGGAGCGGGCCCCGCGCCCCCCUCGGCCUCUCUGCCAGGCCCCGCGCCCUGAGCCCCGCGCCCCGGUGGUACCCCCCGGGCCGCCGCCGCCCCCCGCGCUUGGGCGCCGCCGCCCACAGCUGUUCCCGCCGGCCGCCGUUCACCUCUGUCACAACAGCACCAUCGCCCCGACCGCUCCCGGCUCCGAGCCCUGCCUCAUCCGGGGACUGCGGAGGGCGGGGCCGCGCAGUGACAACAAGGCGCGGGGCGGGGCCUCCACCGCGACGUCACAGGGACGGGGCCGCGUCAGGCAGCCGACCGUCAGCCAUGGGGAGGAGCCCCCGCUUUGGGAAGGGGUCCUUGUGCUGCCUCUCGCUGCACGCCCAGACCCGUCGGCUGCCCCGGCUCGUUCAUCCGCAGCUGCUGUAUGAGGCACUUCAGGCAGGAGGGGUCGGGUUGGUUGGGACGAGACUUUCUUGUCUCUCUCCUAAGGCCUUCUCCAGAGAGGCAGUCAGCCCCGCCCCGCCCCGCGAGAAGGGCUGCGCAGGCGCCUUGGCGCUGCGUCGGGUUCCUUAUGCGCCUUCUGGUGUGGGGCGGGAGAAACGAGUCGCUGUGUGUGUCUGGUUCCAGGACGGCUGUUGUCUUGAAGCGCUCCCGGGGAGCACUGCUCUUCCGGCGCGGUUUAGUACCCGCCAAGGGGUUGGGGUUAAAGCCUGCUACUCCCUAGCUUGCUCCUGCUGCCGUGCGGCUGAGGGCAGCGAAACUCGGGGGCAUCCAAACCCCAGGCCUCCGGGCUUGGGCCUGCACGUAGGACACCUGCGAGGAGACUUUGGAAAUGUCUGAAGCCCCUGGUGGGGAUGGAGGAUGUUUGCUGGUUGUAGGGACACAUAGUUCUGGACUGACUCAUGGAUUUGGACUAGAUUUGGCUUGGAAAAUAUUCUUAAAAAAAAAAAAGUCCUGCAGCCGUCACUGAGACCUCCAAUGUGUCCACCUGGGCAAGAGGGUGGAGGCUGCCCCAGACCAGCCAUCCCCUUUCAGACCAUUGAGACAGAGUCUGAAGGCCAGACUGCAUCCAGACCAUCAGUGUCUCCAUGGUUGUAGCUGCUGCCAGAGGGAAAUGGAUUAGAGCCACCAACUGCCUCAGCCCUCAGUGGGGGGGUGUUUUGUCAGAGUGAUGUCCCAUAGCUUUACUCCAACCCAGGAGGAAGGGCCAGGUUUUGAGGUGCCCUAUACUUGCCUUACUCUGGAGGUUGCAAUACUGGUAUUUUGUAGGAGUUGUCCCACCAUAUUGCUAUCAAACCGUCCAGUCGGAUGCAGUUUAUGGUCAUACCCAGGACCGUGUUAUAGAAGUAGGAGGUAGUUAACAUGCCAGGUCUCUGCAUCUUUGACGGAUCAGGGUUUGGUGAAAACUCAGUAAACAGGGUUCAAAUUUCAGGAGGGCUGAGCGCCCCCCACCCCUCCCCCAUAAGAGAUGAGCCCCUUGUAAGUUUUGAAAAUCAUAACCUGGGGGGGGUUCUAAUUUUAUUAGGGUAUUGUGAGGGGCAGCCCAAUUUUUUCUGCAGUCCCUCCUCCCUCCCAAGAGUCAAACCAUAAUUCAAACACCGUCAGUCGGACUGCUGCCGCUUUUAGCAGCAAGGCAGUGGACCAGGUACUGGAGUGUUUUUCUGAGGCAUGCAGAAGUUUACUAACCCUCACCCUACAAUUAGUAGGGCUUGUAGACACUAGCAAUGUCCAUAGCUGAAGAACAGGCUCAUGGCCAGGGAGGAGAAAGGAAAACCAAGUGAUCAGCACCAGAAGGAGCAGAAUCAGAGCGCAGCCUGUGCUAACUGUUGCUCCAGGGUGAUCUGGUCUCAGCUCACUGUUUGCUCUUGAGAUAGCAAAGCAAUACUAGGUUCUUUACAGCUAAUGCAGUGACACAUCCAGGUGGAGAAACUGUACUCAGCAAACACUUGCACACAGUUGCAACCAGCAGGGUAUUUACUGAAUAGGGAAGCUGGCCAUGAUACCAAAGUAGGGUGACCACCCAUCCCUAAUGGAGCAGGACAGUCCCAGAAUGGGAACAUCAGGUCCUGAUCCUGGGCUGCAUGACUCUGGGACAGCAUUUGUCCUGGAUUCGCAGUAUCAUGCAGGGAUCCGGGAUUUUCAUUCACCGAGGAAAACUGUAGGAAAUAGGCUGCUGGGGGUUGGAUGUAGAAGGCACCAUGUGCAUGUGUGUGCCUGCACACAUGCACUUGGCCAGGAAUACAGCCAGGUAGUGUAGAGAGCAGCUACCUGCAGGUAACACUAUGGGAGGGGGGCAGAGGGAGGUAGGGGAUAACAGACUGAGGCCCCCACAAUGAGGGAAGGAAUGGGGCAGGGGCUGGGGGCAGUGCCCAGCCAGGGCAGUGUCCGAGGCUGAGGCAUGGAGCAAGACAGAGCCACAGGUGGCUUGUCCGGGGGGGCAGCUCUCUGCCACUGCACACACUCCCAGGGAGUGCCCCUCCAGAUUUGUGCAUGGGGCAAGGGCAGAUGUAGGCUGCACGCUCUGCUCCAGCCAUACUGCUGCCAGAGGUGUGAGUUCUGAGGAAGAGGCAGGCAUGUGUCCCUCCCACCUUUCCAUUUUGAAAAAGUGGUCACCCUAUACCAAAGAAGAUGGUAAUGAAUGUGGUAUGUGUUGAAGUGUUGCAAAGCCAGGCUGUGAUCUGACUUCUCCGAUUUUGGGACAUAGUUCUUCAGCAAUUUAAAGUGACCAGCAUACAGUUACAAAGAACACAUAGCAAUCUUAGUACAGGAGCUUACCUGCUGUGGUCAGUACAAUCAUUUUAUGGCUGCCCCAAAAGAAGACUUUGACAAUUUUGAAAACGUUGCUAUGAAUAUAUGCAAAGCCAUUUCCCAAAAAUAUCAAAGUGAGCUGUGCUGUACUCAAAAGAGUAAAGAAUAUGAAGAUAAAUCAGGACAGCCUGAGACCUUACUGCAAGGAAGACGACAUGUUUUUGUUUGGAAACAUUCAGUCUUUUAAUUAACAAUCUGCUAACUUGCACAAGUAAGACACGUAAUAAUGAUGCUUAUAAGAUGAUGACUGACAGUUUUGGAGUUUUGUUUGAACUCAGCCCAUUGCACAUCCCUGGCAUUUACAAGUGUACUGCUGCAUUUGCUGCACUUUACCUGCAAAUCUUGAACUUUGAAAGUUUUCAUAAUGAAUCUCCAACCAAGCUGCUAGAAGACCUAAGACAGAGAGGCCUUCAAUCAGUAUUCCCUAAUGUGAACAUCACUCUGGAGAUUUUUCUGACACUGCCUAUCACAAACUGAAAGAAAGCAUACAUUCUCAAAUAUGGCUAGGAUAAAAAAUGAGCUUAAAUCAAGAAUGCAACAGAGAUAACUAAAUGCUUUAUAUCUUGGAGCACAUGAACCAGAACAUCUGAUGACAACUGGACUUUAAUAACAUCAUACAAGAGCUUUUCAACCUAAUUUUUUUUUAAAGUCAUUUGAAAUAUGGUAAAUGUAGCACUUGCUUAUUUGUAUGCCUUUUUCAUACUUGGUUACAUAGUUAAUAACGGAAAAAUUGUUAUGAGUGGUGGUCAGGGCAGUCAUCUCCAGUUGCCAUGCUCUUUGGAUCCAAAAUCCUAAGAAUUCUUAAUCCAGCCCUGCAGUUAUGACUCUUACCCCUUCUAAAGCUAGGCUUUCAUCCACCUCCCCAGUACUCCGUUAUGUUCUCAUAGUUGUCCUAGGCCACAGCUGGAUCCCUGUGUUGUUCUAUAUCCCCUCAGCUUUUGUAUUCUUGUGUGGGGUUUCUUUCUGUUCUGACCCUUUUUGGUAACAUUUUCCCUGCUGAUGUUAUGCUGCAGAGUGGAGGAGAUGCUCGUCCUUGCUGUGGAAGCAAAAGUAUACACCAAAGAGCGCUCUCUCUUGGUAAAGUACUUCAGGUACAGUAGAGGAGGAUGGGCUGCCCGGAGUAUAGAACUGCAAAGACAGUAGUUGGGUUGCACAGCGAUGUGAUGGUGGGGCCAAAAUAGGAUGAUGUGAUUGCUAACACAUGACAGCAGCUGAUUGAUUGCUCAGUAAAUGUAAUGAAAAAAGAACCAUUUUCUAGCAUUAAUUCAACUCAGUGUUUUUUCUGAGAGUUCAAGAUUCAACUGCUUUAUGUAAAUGGAAGCAAAAGACAGGAAAUGUGGUUAAAAACAGGAAGCAAAGCAGCUGAUAGCUGCCUACAAUCACAUCCUGUCUACUGUCUCACUUGAAAUUAUGUGAAAGGCACGUUGUGCAUCUUGGAUGUCCUUUACUAGGAAAACUAGUAGGGGUGUGUGAAGUGGGCGCCAUUUGAUUCAGAUUUGGCCUACAUCAGGGACAGUGAUUUGAUUCAUUGAUUCGGAUCACUUUCCCAAUUCGAUUCAAUUGAAUCUGAAUCUGAAGAUUUGAUGCUGAUUCAGAGAAUCAGCAAUUCAGCCAUAGACACAGGUUUAAAAGAUUUUUCUACAUACCUUGAGGUACCAGCACAGCUUGUGAAUGCUGCGAUGCUGGGGUAGAUGGAGCAUCCCAGAGGAGUGCGGGGUGGCCCUCCACAUGUUUGGUGGCGAAUCCAGAAGUGGACUGGAAGUAUUUCCGAUCUGCUUCCGGGUCUGCGGGGGGGCACAGCCCCCCCCAUGCUCCCCCACGCUCCCGUGGCUCUGCGACUGGUGCCCCAGCCCACAGUUGCAGCCCCCUCUGCACAGAUCCAGGGAACACCUCCCCCCAUGCCCUCCCAAGGUUUAUGCAACAGCAGGAGCUGCUCCGUGCCCCCCAGACAAGCCACGGCUUUGUCCUGCACCCCACCCUGGCUAGGCAGCACCAGCCCCUGCCCCACUCCCUCUCUCACCACGGGGGCUAUUGAUCUGUCCUCCCCACACCCCUUCCCUCCCCAUCCACAACAGACUUACCAGCAGCUGUAUCAGAAAUCGGAUCAGUAUCGGCUAAUAUGCCUUCUUGAAAAUCAGCUUUCAAUAUCAACCCCCAAAAUCUCUAUCACUGCACCCCUACCAAAAACAUUGUGAUGUGUGGUCUUGCAGAGUUCUUUGCAACAGAAGAACUGUUCCAUUAUUUUUCUGUAGUCAAAACACUAAGCUGCCAUUUUCUAAGGGGUGCCUUGAGUCUAAGAGGUUGAGAACCACUGUAAGAGAAGCUUUUGUAAAAUAAAACAGAGUAAAACUGGUGGGUCA
rnacentral:lncRNA from 1 species